rnacentral:misc_RNA from 1 species
GAUGAAGAACGUAGCGAAAUGCGAUAAGUAAUGUGAAUUGCAGAAUUCAGUGAAUCAUCGAAUCUUUGAACGCACAUUGCGCCCGCCAGUAUUCUGGCGGGCAUGUCUGUUCGAGCGUCAUUUCAACCAUCAAGCCCCCGGCUUGUGUUGGGGACCUGCGGCUGCCGCAGGCCCUGAAAACCAGUGGCGGGCUCGCUGUCACACCGAGCGUAGUAGAUUUUCAUCUCGCUCAGGGCGUGCUGCGGGUUCCGGCCGUAAAAAGCCUUAUUUACCCAAGGUUGACCUCGGAUCAGGUAGGAAGACCCGCUGAACUUAAGCAUAUCAAUAAGCGGAGGA